rnacentral:lncRNA from 1 species
CUGGAGGUUAUUAUUUUUCCAUAAAAAGAGGCGUUCAGCAGCUUAAAAGGGGGUGGUCAAAAACAGAAAAGGAAGAAUAGCAGAGGGGCGUGGCACUCGAGCAAGGAAAAAACUUCUCUAAUUGAACCAGCAAGUGCCGAUCAAGCAACUGGAAUAGCAGUCAAAAUUUCAGCUAGCUGAGAGGAGGGAAGCUCGACAAUUUGAGAAGUUUUCUUUUCCAAGAUUCAGUUCGUAAUUCAUGUUGUUUACAAUUGAUUCUUGUUUUGUUUUACUCGCUAUGAGUGGCUAAAUUACUUAAGCUUAGUUAGACACUUAUGAAACCGAGCACAAGGGAUUUGACAAUUUGUUUUGUUUUAAAUUCAAAUUCGGUAUUCUUGAAUUGUUUGUUUUAUUGUUCAAGG